rnacentral:rRNA from 1 species
AGGUAGUUGGUAGGGUAAUGGCCUACCAAGCCUAUGACGGGUAGCCGGCCUGAGAGGGUGACCGGCCCGAGGGGCACUGAGACACGGGCCCCACUCCUACGGGAGGCAGCAGGCUUGAAAUUUGGGCAAUGGGGGAAACCCUGACCCAGCGACGCCGCGUGCGGGAUGAAGCCCUUAGGGGUGUAAACCGCUGUCAGGGGGGAAGAAGGGUCGGCUGGCUAAUACCCAGUCGACUUGACGGUACCCUCAGAGGAAGCCCAGGCUAACCUCGUGCCAGCAGCCGCGGUAAUACGAGGUGGGCAAGCGUUGUCCGGAAUCACUGGGCUUGAAGGGGAUGCAGGCGGGUAGAUAAGUCGGACGUGUAAUCCAACGGCUCAACCGUUGGUCUGCGUCCGAUACUGUCUGCCUUGAGGACGGGAGAGGAGAGCGGAACUCCCCGUGUAGCGGUGAAAUGCGUAAUAUCGGGGGGAACACCAGUGGGCGAAGGCGGCUCUCUGGCCCGUUCCUGACGCUCAUAUCCGAAAGCCGGGUAGCGAAGGGNANUAGAUACCCCCGUAGUCCUGGCUGUAAACGAUCCCCACUAGGUGUCAGGAGCUUAGGCUCUUGGUGCCGCAGGGAAACCGUUAAGUGGGGCGCCUGGGGAGUACGCCCGCAAGGGUGAAACUCAAAGGAAUUGACGGGGGCCCGCACAAGCGGUGGAGCGCGUGGUUCAAUUCGAUGCUAAGCGAAGAACCUCACCUGGGUUUGACAUGCUGGUGGUACCCCGACUGAGAGGUUGGGGGACCCGGCUUGCCGGGAGCCAGCACAGGUGGUGCACGGCUGUCGUCAGCUCGUGCCGUGAGGUGUUGGGUUAAGUCCCGCAACGAGCGCAACCCCUACCCUUAGUUGCUACCAGCGACCAUGUGUCGGCUGGGCACUCUAAGGGGACUGCCGGCGAUGAGUCGGAGGAAGGUGGGGAUGACGUCAAGUCAGUGUGUCCUUUAUGCCCAGGGCUACACACGCGCUACAAUGGGGACUACAGAGGGUAGCAACCCCGCGAGGGGAAGCCAAUCCCUUAAAGGUCCUCCCAGUUCGGAUUGCAGGCUGCAACUCGCCUGCAUGAAGGCGGAAUCGCUAGUAAUCGCCUAUCAGCAUGGGGCGGUGAAUACGUUCCCGGGCCUUGUACACACCGCCCGUCA